rnacentral:lncRNA from 1 species
GGGGAGAUAAGGGUGAGACAGGCGAGAGUCCGACGAUCAAUAGUUGCUCAAUUUUCUGAGACAACUCAUCUACAUUACUAUAGAUAACUAUAGGGUUUUCAAGCUCAUAGAUUCCACCUCUAUUAGGUUUAUACAUGGAUGUAUUAGUGGCAGACAUGUGGCAAAAAGAAUUUUCGUUAAGGGUUUCAAACAGCUACCAUGCCUCAUUCUCAUUUUAGAGU